UACAGAGGGUGCAAGCGUUAAUCGGAAUUACUGGGCGUAAAGCGUGCGUAGUCGGUUAUCUAAGUCGGGUGUGAAAUCCCCGGGCUCAACCUGGGAAUUGCAUUCGAUACUGGAUAGCUAGCGUUCGGCAGAGGGAAGCGGAAUUUCCGGUGUAGCGGUGAAAUGCGUAGAUAUCGGAAGGAACAUCAGUGGCGAAAGCGGCUUCCUGGACCAGAACUGACGAUCAGGCACGAAAGCGUGGGGAGCAAACAGG
rnacentral:rRNA from 1 species